rnacentral:rRNA from 1 species
UACAGAGGUCUCAAGCGUUGUUCGGAUUCAUUGGGCGUAAAGGGUGCGUAGGUGGCGCCGUAAGUCGGGUGUGAAAUUUCGGAGCUUAACUGCGAAACUGCAUUCGAUACUGCCGUGCUUGAGGACUGGAGAGGAGACUGGAAUUUACGGUGUAGCGGUGAAAUGCGUAGAUAUCGUAAGGAAGACCAGUGGCGAAGGCGGGUCUCUGGACAGUUCCUGACGCUGAGGCACGAAGGUCAGGGGAGCAAACGGG